UACGUAGGGGGGCUAGCGUUGCUCGGAAUUAUUGGGCGUAAAGCGCGCGUAGGCGGUUACUUAAGUCGGAUGUGAAAGCCCUCGGCUUAACUGAGGAAGUGCACCCGAAACUGAGUAGCUAGAGUACGAAAGAGGGUCGCGGAAUUCCCGGUGUAGAGGUGAAAUUCGUAGAUAUCGGGGAGGAACACCGGUGGCGAAGGCGGCGACCUGGGUCGAGACUGACGCUGAGGCGCGAAAAGCGUGGGGAGCAAACAGG
rnacentral:rRNA from 1 species